rnacentral:lncRNA from 1 species
CGCGAUUUUGGCUACGCGACACAAUAAAUCAGUAAAGAUUUAAACGGUAAAUUCAACAUAAUUGAACGCUAUUACUCGAUUAAUUGUCAAGUAAUAAUAAAAAAAAUGUUGUUUAAGCAUAAUCAAAAAGAUAGGCUUUGGGUUUACUGCGGCCCGUUUGAUUUUACUCAAGCAAAAGAGCAUGCUAUAUUUAUAGUAAUCAUUUUUGUUGAUGAGGUUCACAAAGUUUUGAUGUGGGACAUUUACAUUUCAUAUAUAUAAAGGUCCGAAAUAUAUUUAGUGCUUAUAGAUUUUUUGUAUAAAUUAUUUCCUAAAAUCUUGAGAAAAUAUUGAUAGGAAAAAAAUAGCAAGUAAAUAGGGAAAUAUAUAUUAGGUUAUUUAAUGUUUUGAAAUUUCCUAAUUACCCUUAAUGAAAGAGACGGCAAAACUAAAACCAACGGGCAAUUACUGUAAAAAAUACGAAGUGUAACAUGUUUUAAUAGUAUAGAUUCUCAUGCAGUGUAAGAGUUUUAUAUGUAUACUAGAUUGAGAUCUGCGCUUUUCGCGGAGUGAAAGAAAAUGUAAAAU